rnacentral:rRNA from 1 species
AUUGAACGCUGGCGGCAGGCCUAACACAUGCAAGUCGAGCGAGCGGCGGACGGGUGAGUAAUGUCUGGGAAACUGCCUGUUGGAGGGGGAUAACAACUGGAAACGGUAGCUAAUACCGCAUACCCUCAGAUGUGCCCCGAUGGGAUGAGCUCGUUGGUGGGGUAACGGCUCACCCAGGCGACGAUCCCUAGCUGGUCUGAGAGGAUGACCAGCCACACUGGAACUGAGACACGGUCCAGACUCCUACGGGAGGCAGCAGUGGGGAAUAUUGCACAAUGGGCGCAAGCCUGAUGCAGCCAUGCCGCGUGUGUGAAGAAGGCCUUCGGGUUGUAAAGCACUUUCAGCGGGGAGGCGUUACCCGCAGAAGAAGCACCGGCUAACUCCGUGCCAGCAGCCGCGGUAAUUC